rnacentral:rRNA from 1 species
CCCCGGGGAUUGCCUUAGUAGCGGCGAGUGAGCGGCAAAAGCUCAAAUUUGAAAUCUGGCGCCUUCGGUGUCCGAGUUGUAAUUUGAAGAUUGUAACCUUGGGGUUGGCUCUUGUCUAUGUUUCUUGGAACAGGACGUCACAGAGGGUGAGAAUCCCGUGCGAUGAGAUGCCCAAUUCUAUGUAAGGUGCUUUCGAAGAGUCGAGUUGUUUGGGAAUGCAGCUCUAAGUGGGUGGUAAAUUCCAUCUAAAGCUAAAUAUUGGCGAGAGACCGAUAGCGAACAAGUACAGUGAUGGAAAGAUGAAAAGAACUUUGAAAAGAGAGUGAAAAAGUACGUGAAAUUGUUGAAAGGGAAGGGUUUGAGAUCAGACUCGAUAUUUUGUGAGCCUUGCCUUCGUGGCGGGGUGACCCGCAGCUUAUCGGGCCAGCAUCGGUUUGGGCGGUAGGAUAAUGGCGUAGGAAUGUGACUUUACUUCGGUGAAGUGUUAUAGCCUGCGUUGAUGCUGCCUGCCUAGACCGAGGACUGCGAUUUUAUCAAGGAUGCUGGCAUAAUGAUCCCAAACCGCCCGUCUUG